rnacentral:rRNA from 1 species
CAUCGCCUGUAGCUACUUUUAUAGGUACGGCCUGCCCAAUGAUGAUUUUAAUGGCCGCAGUAUUUUGACUGUGCAAAGGUAGCAUAAUCAUUUGUCUCUUAAUUAGAGGCUGGUAUGAAUGGCUAAACGUAGAAAAGCUGUGUCACAAAAUUUACUGAACUUAAUCUUUAAGUUAAAAAGCUUAAAUUUUAUAGCAGGACGAGAAGACCCCAUAGAUCUUUAUAUUGAAAACUUUACAGACAUUAGUCGCUGCUACUAUAAAGUUAAUAAAUAUUUGGUUGGGGUGACGUGAAGUAAUAAACACUUCGUUAUAAAACUUUAAUAGUAGGUCAAAUGAUCCGGGUUACCGAUUAAAAAAUUAAGUUACCUUGGGGAUAACAGCGUAAUCUGCCUUUAGAGUCCUUAUCAAACGGCAGGGUUGCGACCUCGAUGUUGGAUUAAGAUUCUCUCCACGAGCAGCCCCGUGGUAGAGGGGUCUGUUCGACCUUUAAAUUCUUACAUGAUCU